ensembl:lncRNA
CCUGCUCAGAUACACAUACCCGGUGCUGUGAUGACAACUGUCGUCAGUGAUUUUGUACCUCACAAAGACUCUUUGAUCAAGAAAACAGCGUAUUUAUCGUUGGCAGCCAAUGCUUACAGUAAGCGUGUUUUAAAAUCAAAUUCUUGUUUAAUGAAGGGGAACACUGUGUUUGUCUUUUGAUAUUCUGAACCUGGAUUCAUCACUGCUUAGAGUACAUGACAGACUUUGAAAAACAAAGCUGCUAUGGCUUUCCUUUCUGUGCUACUGAUACUGGGACUGCAAAUAUUAUGAAGUUAUCCCUGGAGGAGUUAGAGCAGUGGUGGUAAAGGCAAUACCUUUCAAUCUUUACUUUAAAAUUCUGCAUGUGUGUAGCCACGGUCUAUAGUUUUAUUUGGAGGAGAGUAUAUGGUUCUGCUAAGCCAUGCUCACAGUGAUAUAUCUGAAAUGAAAGAAUUUAUCGAAACAUUUUUGAAGUCAGAAAAAUUAUAAAGAGAAAAUAGGAUCUCAGAGAACCCUGUCCAUCAAGUGGUAAACCUUUAACUGAAAGUGGCAUAUCCAGAAAGUAAGUAAACAAAAACCAGAAGUGUUAAGAAAAUAGAAACAUUGGUGGCUCUGUCCUCCAGUUUAGAAGAAAAUACAUCGCAGUGACUACAGCCUGACACCAAAGGGAUUUCCCUUAAAAUUACCAGUAGAAAAAUAGCUGAUAAUGAUGGUCUCUGGACUUCCAAAGUUCUGUUUCAGAAGUCUUUACAAUACAAUUAUACCAAUUAGAGCUGUUCUUCUUCAGUCAGAGGCUGUUGACAUGAACGUAGACCCAUCAAGGACUUCCUGGGACAACGAUGCUACUCUUUUCCUAAUGCAGUGGAUGUUGAAGAGUCCUAUAAAUCCACCACAAAGUGGAAUGGAUCCCGGCAUGGCUCAUGUUCCAGCAUCGGACCUGCACUGCAAUUUUAGUUCUCAAACGCAGCAUCACAUCAGGGACCAUCAGCGGGGCGUUGCAGUUUGGGCUCCGGACAGAAGAGGGGGCACUUCGGAUGGCCAGAAGGAAAAGCUCGGCCAGAUGUGGACCAGCUGCAGCCCCAGAGCGCCUCCUGCUCCAGGGCCCCGUGCUACCGACCGCAGUAUGGAGCGAGCAGGGGGCUUGCUGGAGAUAGGAAUCCCAAGGACGGCGUGCUGGGAGCGAGAUACGCGGUUAAUAUUUCUGCUCCACUCCAAAGGUGGCUGAGACGGUAUAGAUUUAAUGCUCGAUACUUGCUCUGGAGCCUCCAUGCUGUUUAAAUCUGCACUAUGGAAGGUUGUGGCUUAUUCAGUCAAGGUUGUAUCUUGUAAACCACCCGAGGAACAAAUUCCAUGCAAGGUUGCCUGCGUGCAAAUAUGAUUUUUGACACAAACUGCUGGAUUCCCUGACGUUUCUACUUCUACCUCAGGUAAAUUUGUAUCGGCUGCACUGAACAAGCAAAAAUGCUUCCACACUGUAAAACACUCCCAUAACAUUGAUUCAAGAUUGAUCACUUGCACGAGGUAGUUCAGAGAGUAGUUAUAGCUGCGCAAAACCUUUUAUUCAGGGUUAGAAUUUGACCUAGCGUGAUAACCAGGCAAUAAAAUGGGAGUCGGCUGUCAAUUUCAGGAGAAAUAAGGCAUCACCAGAGCUUAAAGAUCUGCUUCAUAACAUUUCUAUCAAAUAAAUCACAUCUCCUGAGUGGAUAUUUCCACAAUUCUUGACAAGGAAGAAAGAAAAUAUUGUCUUUGCCUAGAUCUGGUGAAGUGAAAUAAAGCUGUAAUGAUUGCUAGCCAACCACAUCUACACACAGAAUUAAUGCAAGCACUCAGUGUGCAGAGAUGUUUUAAAAUCUUGAUUUACAGUCUGUGUUUUGUAAAUUAACAGAAUCCUCACAGCCCUCACAUGAUCUUCAUCGACCAAUUCUGUGUUUGAAACACAUGCCAUAUGUUUGAAACUGACCCUAAUGCUUCUGAAGAAAGGAGUGGUUGGUGUUUUCAGGAAGCAGCCUGGAAUCCAGUGCUAGCUGGUGAGUCAUUAAAUAAGGAGAAUAACAUUUACAGGACGUAAUACAAUAUAUCAGUUUAGCAGAACUGAAAUUUAACUUUCUCAAAUGCCACUUCAGAUAAACAGAAUGUAGUCUUUCUCCACUGGAACUGGACCAGGUGCAGAAUAAGCUGCUAUAAUUAUGCCUGCCCUACCAUGAGGACCAUUGCAAGUAUUUUAAUCUUUCUUAUUUCUUACAUUACACUAUGAAAACUUCAUUGAAAAAUACAUUUCAACUGUAAAGCUGUUUGAAGUAUGAAGUCUAAAGUGUAUCUUGAACAAAUGUUGCAGAUCUUCAUUCUGAAUUGGUAAAAACUGUAAGUAUGAGAUGUCAGAAUUUAUACUGUUGUGCUAUUUUAUUGUUACUCAGUGAGGUAGAAACACAUCAGGAUAGGGUCUAGAGGCCAAGUUUAUCCAAAUAUAUGAGGUCAACUCUGAGAAGACUGUUAUGGACUCUGGAAGAACAAUUACAGAAACUGUAAAAGUAUUCUAUCCUUGGAAAAGAAGUACUGGUCUGUAUAGGAGUAAUAGGAAAAAGAUAACACUGUCUUGUGGCUAUAAAUUCAGCUUCAUAAGGAUAAUUUCCUUUGCCUAUCCAUGUACAGCUAACAAUGAAAAGACUUAGAGAAGCGCGAAGUAAUAUUUUCUUUUAUGUGUGACACAGAAAACAAAGCAGAACAUAAAAAUGUGACGCUUGAGUGCUUGUUUUCCUCAUUUUUAUUUUCUCCAAAUACUCUAAAUACUCACGGGUACAGUCUUCUACUAUGGAAACUGAUGAAGAAAUCAGAUAUGUAUUUGCUGCAGUUUUAGAAAAAUAAUAUAAAUCUACUUGUUUAGUUUGUCUUGUUCAACAGAAAUUACAUGGCGUCCUGACAGCAAAAUAGACUAAUAAUCAUAACAAAUCUAAUUCAUCCCUGUUCUAUUUUGAACUAGAGUGAACUUUCUCUGCAAGACAUGGGAACAACUCACAGAUCUAUUAUUCUGGAAGAAUUAUAGGCAGAAUCAAUACACGUUGCUCAUGACACACAUCAGUGGGUUGUCAUAACAGUGAUUAUAGCUUCUCCAUCAGUAGACAGAGUGAAUACUCAGGCUACUCUGAAAGUUUUUAUCACAUGACAAAACAAAGUGAGUUUUCCAGGCCUACCUCACCCUAUCUUCUUAUUUAAGUAAAUGUAGAAAAAGCUUGCAAUGAACAUUAUAGACCUUGCUGCUCACUUGCCAUUUACUAUUGUGGCGGUGUCAAGCUAAUAGAUUUUUCAGUAAGUGGCCAGAAGUAAAAGUAGCCUCUAUUGGGUCUGUCUACUUUGGUCAUGACUUUCUGUUUAUUGUUUUCAGCAGAAAAAGAAGCUCAGAAAACUAAUGUCCAGUAACAUAUGACAAUUCAUAUCUUUACAAUUUCAAUAUUUUUCCUGGGGAAAAGAGGAGGCAUUGUACAUACGCAACAAUCAGCACACUAUCCUCUAGCUAACGAAGGACUGAACACUACAAUAAAGCUUUGAAAGAAAGGUUAGAGGUGGCUAAACUGAAGGGAAAAUCUGGGAAAACAGUCACUUCAAGUUUCUUUUAAAAAUAAAAAGGAGACAUGGUGCAGCAAAACUGAGGGAGAUUUUAAAUCAGGAGGAAAAUGUUGUUCUGUUGUAAGCACUUAGGAUGGAAGUACCAGUCUGGUAGGAUUUGAGUAAACCAUUCAGUGGAAACAGCAAAAAUGAGAAAUGUUAGGUUAGUUUUGCACUACCAAGGAUUGGCAGUGUGCAAGGAGUCUGUGAGAAAACAAAAACCCAUUGUAUGGGAGAAUCAUAGUUUACCUCUCAGUACUGUCUGAAGGAGAAAAGAGCCC